AGUGAACGCUGGCGGUAGGCCUAACACAUGCAGGUCGAACGGCAGCACAGUAUGAGCUUGCUCUUACGGGUGGCGAGUGGCGGACGGGUGAGGAAUACAUCGGAAUCUACUUUUUCGUGGGGGAUAACGUAGGGAAACUUACGCUAAUACCGCAUACGACCUACGGGUGAAAGCAGGGGAUCUUCGGACCUUGCGCGAUUGAAUGAGCCGAUGUCGGAUUAGCUAGUUGGCGGGGUAAAGGCCCACCAAGGCGACGAUCCGUAGCUGGUCUGAGAGGAUGAUCAGCCACACUGGAACUGAGACACGGUCCAGACUCCUACGGGAGGCAGCAGUGGGGAAUAUUGGACAAUGGGCGCAAGCCUGAUCCAGCCAUACCGCGUGGGUGAAGAAGGCCUUCGGGUUGUAAAGCCCUUUUGUUGGGAAAGAAAAGCAGCAGGUUAAUACCCCGCUGUUCUGACGGUACCCAAAGAAUAAGCACCGGCUAACUUCGUG
rnacentral:rRNA from 1 species